AUUACCAGCAAUCACCUUUAUAUAUAACUAUUACGUCACUGAAGCGUAAUCAUUCUAACAAGCAGUUUUUAAACACCAAUAAGAAAGUCACAAUUUGACAGUUUAAUUGUAUCUUAUCUCGUCUUUACUUCGAUGAUAAAUUGAUUUUAAGAAGCUUACUUGUUUCAUUAUUUAUUCUAUGAUUGAAGAAGGGUAUAAAAAACAUCAAAAUUAUGAUACAGUAAUCUUUUAUUAAAUUUCACCUACAAACAACGAAUCACAGAACGUUACAUUACAGUUCCUUACGUCAAUCCAUCGUGUCUUCGUAUUAUUUUACAGGUAAAUAAUUAUAGAUUUAUCCCUAUUACAGUAAAGUCUUAUUUGUUAAAAUAUCUUGUAGCGUAGUCAAUCGUUAUGUAUAUGUAAAUUUAAUUUACCUAAAAAUAGGAUUUUUUUUGUUGCAAUGUCCAUUCAUUGUUUAUAAGUGGAUGUUAUGUAUAGAAGUGGUACUAUUUAUAGGUACUUGCUUUUUUGUCCAUUGUACUCUGAUGUAUUUCAUUUCAUUCUCUCUCUCUCUUUCUCUCUUUCACUCUCUUUCUCUCUCUCUCUCUCACUCCCUCUCUUUCAUUAUAUUCAUCUUAUCUUUUUUUAUUGUAUUUUUUAAGUAUAUUUUUCAUCUGAUACGUGUAUGCAAAGUGCGAUAUGAAAAAAGUCUU